GUUAAUAUCUGAGGUAUAAGUGAUGGAGCCUGUGAUUCGCAUCCAUGAUUCGUUGGUUCCUGCACUUGGCCUGGCUGAGUUGAGUGAAGAAUGGGUUCCCCUGAAAUGAGAGACCAGUUGUGUGCAUGUGUGGCGAAUGUGGUGACAAUGGCUGUGGGCUGUUGAGGAGUUGCAUUGGUGGGACGGCUAAUACCUCCGACAUGCGUCGACGUGGUGUUGUGAUGUGUACUGGCCAUGAAGACACACCCAGACUGCGUUUCCAUGGUGGUAACACGUGUGUGGAUGGACCUGAAAAAAACAAAUUUAAUAUUGUAUCCAAAUUGAUGUGAAAACACACCCAAUGCUAAUGUACUUACCAGCAUCAUCAGCAUCAUCAACAUCCUCAGCAUCAGUAGGAGUGGAGACUGGUCCAGAGGCUGUUUGUGACUUUUUGGAGACUGCAAAUGUAUAUAAAGCAUUUUAUUUUAAACCAAACAAUUCAAUCAACACACA